rnacentral:lncRNA from 1 species
UUUUUUUUUCUUCUUCUUAAUAUCAAGAAUGUUUUUUGCUGGCUUUUAAUGUGAGAAACAUUUUUUUAAUGAGUUGACAUAGUGGAAUUCAACGGACAAUUCGCUGAAAUUUAAUGACUAGUCAUGCUUUACAGGAAAAAAGAUAGUGUUGAUUCAUUUUUUUCUUUCUUUUUAACUCAAAAAUGAGGGAAAAUUAACAACAAAAUGUCAAAAAAGCUUAAGUAUUAUUCAUAUAUCAUUCCGAUCUUUAAAUUUCCGGGACCACUGAAAUAUUUUAGCUCAAAAUAGUUGGAUCUCUACCUCAUUAAAGAGGUAAUUGUGAUAUUGUUUUUUAUUCUUAAAAGGUUAAAAGGAUUUACUUACUGCUGUUUUUUCUAGAGAAAAGUUUUUAAUUUCCCGACAAAUAAGGUUUCAGACAGUUGUCAAUGUUGUAAAAGGACAUAACCAUCUCUCAUUGUUACACCAAAAGAGCUAAUGAGUCUUGUGAUCAAAAUUUAGACGGCACAUUCCUGUAAGUUACUUUUGUGUUUCUAUUUAUUUCUAUUUUUUAAAAGGAAAACAAAAAAUUGCAAACUCAUCGUUUCAUCAGUAGCAUACCCAUGGAGACGAGUCUUCUAGUUUCUAUUCACGGUGUACUUAUUUAUAUAAGGCAGAAUAGCCUAAAUGACACCUAUACUUGUGCCACUUUGUUAUCCCGGUUCUUGUAAUUAAUGAAAUUUUAUUUAGACACCUGAACUCAGUCAAAACAUGUAUUUUAAACCUCUCUGGCCAUUGAUUGAGCUUAUGUAUCAUUUAUUUUGCUGAGUCAGAAAACUGAGUGGUUACACGCUCUAAAAAGGAGAGUGGAUAUAUUUAUUUUGAUUUAAAAAUAAUAAAGAAUAACCAUAAAAGAGAAAAAGAGUAAACUAAUUUCUCAACCCAAGCAUCUCUACCCGUUUCCCAACCCUUCGGCCUGAUUUCCCAUGUUUCUCCCCACUCUUUCCUAUCGUAACUCCCCCCAUCCUCCACCCCACCCCUCUACCAUUUGUGGAUAGUUAGCAACAAAAUUAAUAGUAUAAAAGGAGAAGAAUUUUCUUUUAGGGAAGCUAAAUAAACAUAUCUGUUAAUGAGGUUAAAGUUUUUAAAAAUAUCAAGAAGCAAUGACCAAGUAAUUUUCGUGUUCAUCAGUCCAUUAUGGUCAUGGGUUUUCCAAAGGAGUCUGGCGAGUGGAGAAAUAGGUGGUAGAGUCCGCUAGUGAUUAUUUUCCAAUGAUCUGGUUUUGCUUUAUGGUGGUCGGCAGUAAAAUACUUCCAGCAAUGUAGUCCUUUAUAUUGUAGUGAUGGUAAGCUGCCCGCUAGUUGUUGCCCCUUUUUGUAUCUCUAUAAAUUCUAAGAUUACACUAGUAAGCUGAAUUUUACCUAAAAUAAUGAGAGUAAGGAGAUGAAGCAAGAUAAUUUUUUUUAUCAAAAUUGAAGAGUUUUAUGUAUAAGAAUUGGGGUUUAAGAUUGUGCUCAGAAAGGAGGAAAGAGAGCAAACGGUGAAGGCGACUCCAAUUUUCCGAUUGUUUUCCGGUGAUAAAGGUCGCCGACAACAUAUGAAGAUAGGGAUGGAUUUGAAAUAUUAUUAAAAAUUAUGCUCUGAAGAUUGAUUUAAAGUAACCCAGUCAGAUGUCUCAUAAAGAGUAAUGAUUUAAAUAAAUAAAGAUGUGGCAUUGUUUUAUCUAAAGUGGACAUGAUAUUUUCUCCAUGUUAGGCGAGUGACCAACACGUAAUGUUGAAGGAGUAAAUACAUGUUUUGACUAAGUUAAUGUGUCUGGAUGAAACUUCAUUAAAUACAGGGAUCAGAAUUACAAGGUGGCACAAGUAUAGGUGCAUGUAGCGAUACAGCUACCGAGAAUAUAAAAGGAAUUGUAAAAAAUUGAACAAGAAGGAAAAAUUAAAUAAGCUUUGCCAUUUCUCUGAUGAUAGUUACACUGAUGAGGCAAGGAUAUAUACUAUGAUAGCUACAGUUGUGACUAAAUUCCCUUCCAAUGAGAAACCAACAACUAUUGUACCACCCCAUAACGACACUAAAAUAAAGGACAAACAUGUGUCACCUCCAGGCUAUGACAUUACUUAGAGAUUCUAUUACAAAUACUAAAAUUAAAGGACUUAAAAUUAAUUACACAACUUUCCUUAAAUGAUAAUUCAACCACGCAAUCAUCAGUCUUGAUUAUCCUUCUCUUUGAAUGACUUAGACAGCCUCAUUAGACAACAUCCCAUUCCCCUUCGAGAACCUUGAUAAUCAAGGUUGAAAUCCAGGGAAUUGCGAAGCAAGAAAGGUGUAAUCCUCCCAGGUUGCAUCUUUCGAAGCUAAAUUAGCCCAUUGCACUAAAACUUGGGUUACAACGCGAUUUCCUCUCUUGACCAUUCUCCGAUCUAAGAUAGCCACUGAUUCUGAAAUAAUCUGCCCUUCAGGAGUGCUAAAAAGAGGUUCUUUAGCAGAAAUUUCCUUCGGCCCCAACUUCUUCUUCAAUUGCGACACAUGAAACACCGGGUGAAUAUGCGAUUCAGCUGGCAAUUGGAUCUCGUAGGCCACUGGGCUGAUCUUUUUGAUUACUGGGUAGGGACCAAAAUACUUGGAGGCCAACUUCAGAUUCUUCCUCAAAGCUAUUGAAGUUUGACGAUAUGGCUGCAGCUUGAUAAAUACUAAAUCCCCCACUUCAAAGGUCUGUUCGCUUCUCUUACUAUCCGCAUACUAUUUCAUUCGAGCUUGAGCUUUGACUAAGUUGUCCUUCAAUUGUCUGUUUACCACCUACCUUUCUUUCAGCAAUUGAUCCACGGAUUCAACCUUCGAUUGUGCAAUCAGCUCGAAGUUGGCCAAUGGUGGAUCAUACCCGUAAAGAGCCUUAAAAGGGGUCAUAUUGAUGGCUGUCUGAAAAUUAGUAUUAUACCAAAACUCAGCCAGUGCUAACCAUUUUCCCCAUUCUUUGGGUCUUUGCCUAGUUAUACAUCUAAGAUAAGACUCUAGACACCGAUUCAAUCUUUCCGUUUGUCCGUCUAUUUGGGGAUGGUAGGCCGAGCUUAAUUUCAACUGUACUUGCAUGUUCUUAAAGAGUUCUUGCCAAAAUAAACUAACAAAAAUUGGAUCUCGAUCAGAGACAAUUGAACAAGGAGCUCCGUGUAGUUUAAAAACCUAAUCAAGGAAUAUCUGGGAAAUUUGGGCAGCAGUGUAAGGAUGACUUAAUGCAAUAAAGUGAGCGUAUUUAAUAAACCUGUCAACCACCACCAAGAUGACUUUUUUCCUUGUGAUUUGGGCAAUUCUUCUAUAAAAUCUAUGAAAAUAUGCUCCCAAGCUUUUUCGGGAAUUAGUAAUGGUUAUAGUAACCCAGGAUAAGCCACACUUUCAUCUUUAUUUCUUGGGCAAAUUUCGCAUUCUUGUAUGAAAGAUGUUACAUCCUUGCUCAUCCUUGGCCAAUAGAAUAGAGCUUUAAGCCUUUGGUAUGUUGUAUCGUUAGGACGACUGGUUCUCGUAGUUGUAUUGCCCUAACGCAACGACUCAAACAACUGCGAGUGCUUCUAAGACGAUGAGAGGCAUGCGCUUCUCCUAAAGACUGGGUUCCCAAGGCAUAAGAAAAAGAGAAAGUGGAUUAGGAAAGAUUCAAAGGAUUGCUAUACUCAUAGACAGGAUUCAGGUGCAAAGCAGGUUGUUCGCCUUUCGGAAAAGGUGAGCUUCUUUGGUUCAAAAGGCACUACCAAACUACUCUAGUACAGCUAGUGAAUCCUCGAAUGUCUACCCCAAGUAGAAGAAUGCAUAUCCUGGAUUAGUUUUAGCCUAAGGCCCAACUGAUUUCCAAUCCACAAUUUCCCUUGAAACCUUAGCAAACCAAAUUGUAGAGACGCAUUAGUCACUGCUUGUGAGCCAAUAAUCAGUUGUGAGAUUAUGUCUUGGGCUUCUUGAUCCCCUGUAUAGAUGUUUAUUACCUCUUGCACCCACAUGGGUUGGAUCAAAGUGAGACCCAAACAUAAAGCUUCUUUUUCUUGAUUAACUCUUGAAAUUUCCUCUUCCCUUCGAGACAACGCAUCAAUUACAAUGUUCUCUUUUCUCUGCCGAUAAUGUAUUUCAUAACUGAGGCCCAUCAGUUUUAUUACUCCUUUAUAUUGUAAAGAGGUGGUGAUACGUUGAUCUCUGAGGAAUUUAAGACUAAAGUGGUAUGUCCGAAUGAUGAAGUGAUUGGGUUGGAGGUAAUGUCUCCAUUUUUCAACAGCCAGUAGAAUGGAAAUCAAUUCCUUCUCAUAGGUGGAUAACCCAAGAUGCUUUUGACUUAAAGCUUGACUCAUAUAGGCAAUGAAUCUGUUAUUUUGGGAAAGCAUAACCCUAACUCCCCACCCACUAGCAACGACUUCAACCACAAAUGAUAACUUGAAAUCUGGUAAGGCCAAGACAUGUGCUCUACUCAUGGCUUCUUUCAGAGCUUCAAAGGCUUUGGUUGAUUCUAUACUCCACACAAAACCUCCCUUUUUGAGUAAUGAUGUUAAGGGCUUACAAAUAAUUUCAUAGCUUUGGAUAAACUGACGGUAAUAUUCAGUAAGCCCAAGGAAUCCACGUAGACUCUUAACAGAACUUGGCUUGGGCCAAUUUACCAUGGCCUCAACUUUAGCCCUAUCAGUGCUUACCCCAUCAUCGGUGAUCACACAACCCAAGUACUCCACUUGUUCCAAUAAAGAAGCACUAUAAACCAAUAUAUCAUUAAAACAAACUAACACAAACUUCCUCAAAUGGGGGUCGAAAAUCUGAUGCAUAAGGACUUGAAAUGUAGCCGAAGCAUUUGUUAAUACGAACGACAUCACUGUAAAUUCCCACAAUCCAUGAUGAUUUUUGAAAGCCGUUUUAUGAUCAUGGACCGCCUUCAUUCGGAUUUGAUGGUAUCUGAAUCUUAAAUCCAAUUUCAAAAAAUAAUGAGCACAAUGGGGUUCAUUUUGUAGAUCUUCCACCACCGAAAUCAGAUAUUUAUUCUUUAUGGUAAUGUCAUUGAGCUUUCGGUAAGCAACAGAUAACCUCCACGUCGAAUCCUUUUUCUUGACAAGGAUGACUGGUGAAGCAAAAGGAGAUGUACUAGUGAUCACUGCCUUAGCCUCUAACAUCUCUUGAAUAAUUUUUCGAUGACAUCCUUUUGCUCGUGAGGGUACCUAUAGGGUCGUUGAUUGACUGGUGCUGCUCAUGAAACCAUUCAAUAGCAUGAUCGCAAGACCUAGCUGGAGGUAAGGUGGUGGGUUUAUCAAACACUCUAGCAAAUGCACCCAAAAGUUUUUCCACCACACCCGGUACUAUUUCUCUGUUGGACUCGACUGAUUCUAUUUGAAAUGUUUGUGCCACCCAACUGCAACCACAUCUAUUCAAUAACUCAGAAUUCUUUUAGAAUCCACUUGGGCCAUUGACUGCGAAUCAGGAAAGCCCACCAGUGUCACCAUCUUACUUCCUCUAAAGAAGGAUACACUAUGUGGUCUAGUAUUUAUAACCAUGGGAGCUACCAAGUCUAUCCAAUCCAUCUCUAAGACUAUAUCACACCCUCCAACCUUCAUUAAUCUCAGGUCAAAUUGGAACAUUUCACCUUGCAUUUGCCAAAACACCUUAGGACAAAAAAUAUUACUCCACAUUAUCCCUCAAUUAGCUACUCGAACUUUUAUGGGCCGAAUCAUUUGUUGCAUGUUCAAUUGCAAUUUUUCAGCCACUUGAGGGUCUAAGAAGCUAUGAGUUGCCCCUAAGCCAAUCAAAAUUAUCACUGGUUUAUUAUUUAAGAUUCCUGAAAUUUUGAUUGUAUUGGGACCUCCUCCUGGGCCAUCCAGAACAUUAAGGAAAGCUUCCUCCUCUUCCAAACCCACCUUCAUAUUAGCGGUAGCAUCUUCCACAUUUUCCUCCACUUCUUGUUCAUCCGUUAUUCCAGAGCCUUCACAUGCUUCAAAAUUGGUUUCCCCUUCACUUCCUUCAUUUGAAUUAAGGGCUUUGAACUUGCAUUGAUGCCCUAGAAAGUACUUAUUAUGGUAUUUGUAACACAACUUAUUUUCCCUUAACAUUUCCAUGGUUGGAUUGUUCAGUAGGACCAUUGAAUUUCUGGUCACAAUAGGCGGCAAACUCUUGAUGAUGCUUUGAGCUGAAGUUGUUUUGGGCUGGGAGGAAAGGUAAUUGUCGGUUGUGUGGAGGACAUUUUCGGAGGCUCAAUAUUUUUAUAAAUGGAGGCUAACGUUUUUUCAUGGAUUUUAGCUAUUUCUAGUGCAUCAAUCAUUGUUUGAGGAUUGGAUGCCCUCACCAUGGACUGUAAAUCUGCCUUUAAUCCUCCAACAAAGCAAUACACAAAGUAAACUUCAUUAAAUGUUGGAUUAAUGAGCAACAAGUAGAAAUGUAUGUCUUCAAAUUUGUUAAAAUAGCUAUCCACAUCCGUCCACUAUUGAAAUCUAUUAAAAUCAAUAACAAAUUGAUUCAUUUAGUUGGAACGGGUUGCACACCGCAACAAAUAUUAUAUUGGAUCGGGUUGCAUGUCGCAACAGAUAUUAUAUUGGAUCGGGUUGCACGCCGCAAUAGCUAUAUAUAUGUGGAUUAGGUUGCACACUGCAACAAUGUUAAAUGAUAAGGGAUCGGGUUGAGCGCCGCAACAAUAUUGUUAUUGUAUUGUUGUAGAUAUUGAUCUGUCCUUUCAUAUUUUAUUAGGUUUCUAUUGGUCUUGAUAUGUUUCCCCGAAGCAUGUACCCCCUCCCAUUUUAAACUGCUUAUUCUUAUUUAUUUUCCGCCAUAUAUUAUAUAACUGCACAGGUUUAUUUGGGGUCUGGUCCUAGCCUUGUCACUACCUCGCCGGGGUUAGGCCAGACACUUACCAUCACAUGGGGUCGGUUGUGCUGAUACUACACUUUGCACUCUGUGCAGAUACUGGAGCGGCACUUGAUCAGCAGCAGUAAAGGAGCCCGCCUUCAGUCUACCAAGACACCGAGGUAGCCUUGUAGCGUCCACAAGCCCGACGUCUCCUCUAUAUUUUAUUAUGUUCUGUUAUCUCAUAUAUCCGAGACAAACAAUGUUAUUUUUCCUUCAAACUGUUGUAUGUAGUACUCGUAGUAGUUCGUGGGUAUUGUGACACCAGUUUUUGGGUAGAGGCAUCUGUGGACUUUCGAAACAUUUUGGUUUUAUAUUUAUUUAAGACUUCCGUUUAAAUCUCAUAUUCCGCUGUCAUUUAGAUGUCUAUCACUUGUUAACAUAAGUUGUAAAAAAAAAGAUUAAAACAGAAGAGUUAAAGAUUUCUAAGUUUGUGGCUUGCCUAGCUUCUACGAGUAGGCGCCAUCACGACUCUCGAGGGUGGGAAUUCCUGGUCGUGACAAGUUGGUAUCAGAGCUCUAGGUUACAUAGGUCUCACAAUUCACGGACAAGCUCAGUAGAGUAAGAGAGAUCGGUACAGAGACGUCUAUAUUUAUCCCCCAUAGGCUACAGAGUUAGGAAAACUUCACAUUUGUUCUUUCCUAUCGUGUGGUUUUAUUUCUCAAUGCAAAUGGGAUUUCCACUCUGUUUUUUCGCAGAUGGCGAGAACAUGCGCUUCCUCAUCUACCGCUUAGUAGCCCGAACCCCCAUCAGCAUCUCCUACGAGGGGCAAAGGGCAAGACCGAGGUCGUUCUAGAGGCCGAGGUAGGGGCAGAGCUCAGUCCCGAGCAACAACACUAGUGACGGAACCUCAGGUUGAUUUUGAUGAGGAGGUUCCGUCCCCAGCAGUCAUGGUGGGCCCAACUCAGGUCCCAUAGGGGUUUAUUGCUACCCUCGUCCUUCAGGAUGCUCUGGUAUGACUAGUGGGCCUCAUGGAGAUUGUCAUCGGGGCAGGCUUGCUUCCUGUAGCACCAGCCGUCUCUCAGGCUAGAGAAGGAGACCAGACUCCUGCUACUCGCACUCCGGAGCAGGUAGCUCCCCAGAUUUAGACUCCAGAGGUUCAGCUAGUUAGAGUAGUUCAGCCGGGUGUGGUAGCUCAGACCGGCGAUGGAGCAGCUAUGCCUGCCAAUACUUUAUGGAGGCUGGAUAGGUUUACCAAGCUCUUCACUUCUACUUUCAGUGGUGCAUCUACUGAGGAUCCUCAGGAUUAUCUAGACAGCUGCCAUGAGGUUCUCAGGAACAUGGGUAUUGUUGAUACCAAUGGGGUCGAUUUUGCUACAUUUCGCUUGUCUGGAUCCGCCAAGACUUGGUGGAGGGAUUAUUGCUUAGCUAGACCAGCCGGAUUAUUAGCCUUGACUUGGGAGCAGUUCACACAGAUAUUUCUGGAGAAGUUUCUCCCCAUUACUCAGCGAGAGGCUUACCGGAGGCAGUUUGAGCGCCUCCAGCAAGGUUCCAUGACGGUUACCCAGUAUGAGACUAGGUUCAUCGACUUAGCUUGCCAUACUCUUGUCAUACUUCCUACCGAGAGAGAGAGAGAGAGGGUGAUGAGGUUUAUUAAUGGUCUUAUUCAGCCAAUCCGCCUUCAGAUGGCUAGGGAGGCUGGGAGUGAGAUCACUUUUCAGGAGGUAGCCAAUGUAGCCCGUAGAGUGGAGAUGGUCAUGUCACAGGGAGGUGGUCAUGGGUCGGAUAAGAGGCCCCAUCAUUCAGGUAGAUUUAGUGGUGCCCCGUCUGGAGGCAGAUAUUCAUAUGGCAGAGGCCAUCCUUCUAGGCCCUUUCAGUCAGCUCUUCAGGUCUCUCACGACGCUUCAGGUAGCCGUGGUCCGCAGAUGCAGUAUUCCGAUCAGUAGCCCCACAAUGCACCACCAACUCCUAUCAGUGCACCGCCGUUCUAGAGUUUUAGGGGUGGUCAUUUGGGUCGCCAGGGUCAGUCUCAGUUUCCUCAGCCACAACACUCAAGUGAUAUUUUGAUUGUGGUGAGUAUGUCAUAUCAGGAGGACUUGUCCGAGGUUGGUGGGUACUCAAUCACAGCAGCAGGGUUCCCGUGCUAUGGUCCAGGCACCAGGUGUUUCACAGACUGCCCAGCCAGCUAGAGGUGGGGGUAGAAGUGUUAGAGGUGGAGGUAGAGGAUUUAGAGGUGGAGCUCAGGCCGCUAGAGGUGGAGGCCAGCCAUCUGCAGGCCGUCCCAAAGAUGGAGCCCAGGGUGGUGGGGCCCAGCCCCGAUGUUAUGCCCUUCCAGCCAGGCCCGAGGCUGAGGCUUCAGAUGCGGUUAUCACAGGUACUAUUCUGGUUUGUGAUAGAGAAGCUUCAGUGUUAUUUGAUCCAGGGUCCACCUACUCGUAUGUGUCAUCUUAUUUUACACAGUGUCUGGUUAUGCCUAGUGAUUCAUUGAGUGUUCCCGUUUAUGUGUCUUCACCCACCUAUUGUAGUUGAUCGAGUCUAUCAUUCUUGUAUUGUGGUGAUUGGGGGUCUUAAAACUCGUGUAGAUUUGUUUCUUUUAGACAUGGUCAAUUUUGAUGUUAUAUUGGGGAUGGAUUGGUUAUCACCUUACCAUGUCAUCUUGGACUGUCAUACCAAGACUAUGACCUUAGCUUUACCGGGUAUGCCUCGUUUAAAGUGGAGAGGGACUCCUGGUCAUUCUACCCGUAGUGUUUUCUCUUAUGUGAAGGCUCAGUGCAUGGUCGAGAAGGGGUGUUUGGCCUAUUUGGCAUAUGUUUAUGAUUCUAGUGUUGAGCUCUAUUGAUUUUGUGCCCGUUGUUCGUGAGUUUCCUGAGGUAUUCCCUUCGGACUUGCCGGGUAUGCCACCCGACAGGGAUAUUGAUUUUUGCAUUGAUUUGGCUCAGAGCACUCAGCCCAUUUCUAUCCCGCCGUAUCAUAUGGCCCCGCCUGAGUUGAAAGAGUUGAAGGAAUAGUUGCAAGACUUGCUUGAAAAGGGUUUCAUUAGGGCUAGUGUUUCGCCUUGGGGUGCGCCGGUGUUGUUUGUUAAGAAAAAAAGAUGGGUCGAUGAGGAUGUGUAUUGAUUACCGCAGUUGAACAAGGUUACAAUUAAGAAUAAGUAUCCAUUAUCGAGGAUUGAUGAUCUAUUUGAUCAGCUUUAGGGUUCCAAGGUAUUUUCAAAGAUUGACUUGAGAUUUGGCUACCAUCAAUUGAGGAUUAGGGCAUCCGAUGUCCCUAAGACAGCCUUUCGCACUCGGUACGGGCAUUAUGAGUUCUUGGUUAUGUCAUUCGGGUUGACAAAUGCCCGGCAGCUUCCAUGGAUUUGAUGAAUCGAGAGUUCAAGCCUUAUCUGGAUUCACNNNNNNNNNNNNNNNNNNNNNNNNNAGCACGAGCAGCAUCUCAGAGUGGUCUUUCAGACUCUGAGGGAUAGUCAGCUAUAUGUUAAGUUCUCGAAGUGUGAGGUCUAGCUGAGUUUAGUUGUAUUCCUGGGUCAUGUUGUAUCAGCAGAGGGUAUUCAGGUGGAUCCGAAGAAGAUUGAGGCAAUCAAGAACUGGCCUAGGCCAACAUCAGCUAUAGAGAUUCGGAGUUUCUUAGGAUUGGCAGGCUAUUAUCGUCGGUUCGUGGAGGGGUUUUCAUCUAUCGCAGCCCCGAUGACCAGGUUCGCCUAGAAGGGGGCAUAGUUUAGAUGGUCGGACGAGUGUGAGGCGAGAUUUCAAAAGCUCAAGACAGCUCUGACUACGGCACCGGUGUUGGUUUUGCCCACAGGUUCAGGGCCUUAUACAGUUUAUUGUGAUACUUCUCGUAUUGGGCUUGGUGAAGCGUUGAUGCAGGAUGGCAAGGUCAUUGCCUAUGCUUCACGGUAGUUGAAGAUUCAUGAGAAGAACUACCCGGUUCAUGAUUUGGAGUUGGCAGCCAUUGUUCACGCAUUGAAGAUUUGGAGACAUUAUCUAUAUGGCGUGGCAUGUGAGAUGUUCACGGAUCACAAGAGUCUUCAGUAUUUGUUCAAGCAAAAGGAGUUGAAUUUGAGGCAGAGGAGGUGGUUGGAGUUGUUGAAGGAUUAUGAUAUCACUAUCUUAUAUCACCCGGGAAAGGCCAAUGUGGUGGCCGAUGCGUUGAGUAGGAAGUCAGCCAGUAUGGGCAGUCUUGCUUAUAUUCUGGUCGGUGAGAGACCGCUUGCUUUGGAUAUUCAGGCUUUGGACAAUCAGUUCAUGAGAUUGGAUGUCUCUGAGCCCAGCCGUGUGCUAGCUUGCACAGUCGCUCGUUCUUCGUUAUUGGAGCUUAUCCGUGAUUGGCAGUAUGAUGAUCCCCAUUUGUGUGUCCUUAGAGACAUGGUGCAGCGCGGAGGUGCCAAGCAGGUUGCCUUAGAUGAUGAUGGAGUUUUGAGAUUGCAGGGUCGAGUUUGUGUGCCUAAUGUGGAUGAACUCCGAGAGUUGAUCUUAGAGGAGGCCCAUAGUUACCGGUACUCUAUUCAUCCGGGCGCCGCGAAGAUGUAUCAGUAUUUGCGGUAGUAUUAUUGGUGGCGUAGAAUGAAGAAGGACAUCGUUGCACAUGUGGCUUGAUGUUUGAAUUGUUAGCAGGUUAAGUAUGAGCAUUAGAGGCCUGGUGGUUUAUUUCAGAGGAUUGAGCUUCCCAAGUGGAAAUGGGAGCGGGUUAUUAUGGAUUUCAUUGUUGGACUCCCGCGGACUUAGAAGAAGUUCAACGCAAUAUGGGUCAUUAUUGAUAGGCUGACCAAGUCAGCGUAUUUUAUUCCUGUGGCAGUUCCAUAUUCAUUCAAGAGGUUAGCUGAGAUCUAUAUCUAGUAGAUUGUUCGUCUUCAUGGUGUACCUGUGUCUAUCAUUUCGGAUCGAGGUACGCAGUUUACCUCACAUUUUUGGAGAGCAGUUCAGCGAGAGUUGGGCACUCAGGUUGAGUUGAGUACAACAUUUCAUCCUCAGAUGGACGGGCAGUCCGAGCGGACUAUUUAGAUUUUGGAGGAUAUGCUCCGAGCCUGUGUCAUCGAUUUUGGAGGUUCGUGGGAUCAGUUCUUGCCUUUAGCAGAGUUUGCCUACAACAACAACUACAAGUCGAGUAUCCAGAUGGCUCCUUAUGAGGCUUUAUAUGGUAGGCAGUGUCGAUCUCUGGUUGGAUGGUUUGAGUCGGAGAGGCUCGGUUGUUAGGUGCGGAUCUGGUUCAGGAGGCCUUGAACAAGGUCAGGAUUAUUCAAGAUAGGCUUCGUACAGCUCAGUCCAGGCAAAAGAGUUAUGCAGAUCGCAAGGUUUGAGAUGUGGUUUUUAUGGUCGGCGAGCGGGUAUUGCUCCGAGUGUCGCCUAUGAAGGGCAUGAUGAGAUUUGGGAAGAAGGGCAAGCUUAUCCCUAGGUUCAUUGGUCCGUUUGAGAUUCUUGAUCGAGUGGGAGAGGUGGCUUAUAGACUUGCAUUGCCGUCGAGCUUAUCAGUCGUACAUCCAGUGUCUCAUGUGUCCAUGCUUUGGAAGUAUCACGGCGACCCAUCCCACGUGUUAGAUUUCAGCACUGUCCAGUUGGACAAGGACUUGUCUUAUGAGGAAGAGCUGACAGCUAUUCUAUACCGGCAGGUUCGUCAGUUGAGGUCAAAGAGUUUUCCUUCUGUUCGUGUUCAGUGGAGAGGUCAGCCUCCUGAGGCAUCGACCUGGGAGUCCGAGUCCAAUAUGCGGAGCCGUUAUCCCCAUCUUUUCCCCGACUCAGGUACUUCCUUCUUCUGUCCGUUCGAGGACGAACGGUUGUUUUAGAGGUGGAGAAUGUGAUGACCGAAAAGGUCAUCACUUGCUUUGAAUUAAAUUUUGUGUUUACGAGGCCUUGAAAACCUCAUUUAGAGUCACCUCGAUUUAUGUGUGCAGUCCGGGCUCGUAGCUGAAAAGCGCAAAUGUGAAAAUCUGUGAAAAAUGAUAAGUUUUGACUGAAAAAUGAAUAAAUUUGACUUUGGUCAACGUUUUGUGUAAAUGGACCCGGAACCGUAAUUUGACAGUCCCGGAGGGUCCGUAUGAAAAUAUGGGACUUGGGCGUAUGCCCGGAAUCAAAUUUCGAGGUCCUAAGCCCGAGAAAUGAAUUUUUAAAGGAAAUUAUUUUCUGUAAUUGCUUAAGGAAAAUUGAAAUGAAAUUUGCUUAGAACAUGGUGGUAUCAGGCCCGUAUUUUGGUUCCGGAGCCCGGUACAAAUCUAAUAUAUGAUUUGAGACAUUUCUGUAGAAUUUGGUGAAAACAGAUGUCAUAUGACGUGAUUCAGUCUUAUAUCGCAAAAUUUAUGUUUAAAGAAGUUUUGAGAAAAUUUCAUUGAUCUCGAGAUUUAAUUUGAUGUUCAUGAUGUUAUUUUGAUGAUUUUAUUACACGAAUAAGUCCGUAGGAUAUUUUUGAGAUUUUGUGUGCGCUUGGUUUGGAAUCCCGAGGGCUCAGGUGAGUUUCGGGUAGGUUCCGGUAUGCCGUAAGCCUAAAAACACAGUUGUGGCAGGUUCGGAGAAGUUGCAGGUCUGUGAACCCACCAGUGCGGUCCGCGGUUGGCUUUGCGCGGUGGAGGCUUGUGCGGCCGCAGUCCAUUUCAUGCAAUCCGCACAGGGCACUGGACCGCAGUAUCCCAAAAAACCUGUGCGGCCGCAAUCCAUUUUGUGCGGUCCGCACGGGGGGUCUGAGAGGGGUAUAAAUAGAUGAGAUUUUCAGUUAUUUUUCAUUUUUCAAAACCCCAAAAACAUAAGAGGCGAUUUUUCAAACAACCUUUCUUCUCCAAAUCAAUUGUAAGUUAUUUUUAACUAGUUUUCUUCAAUCAUUAACAUCUUUUAACAUGAUUUCAACUUCAAAUCAAUGAUUUUCAUGGGGGAAAUUGGGUGUUUUUGGUAGAACCUAGAUUUUUUAAAAAUUAAAAUUUGGACCUCGAUUUGAGGUCUGAUUUCAAAAUAAAUUAUAUAUUUGAGUUUGUGGGGGAAUGAGUAAUCGGGUUUUGGUUCGAACCUCGGGUUUUGACCAUGUGGGCCCGGGGGAGAUUUUGAUUUUUUGGGUAAAACUUUCGAAAACUCAUUUUCAUGCAUUCAAAUUGAUUCAUUUAGCGUUUAUUGAUGUUAUUAAGUAACUUGUGGCUACAUAUGAGCAAAUUGGCGGUGGAAUCAAGGGGUAAAGCUAUAAUUGAAACUUGAGUUGUGUUCGAGGCAUCGAGGUAAGUGUUCGGUCUAACCUUAGCUUGAGGGAUUAGGAGUUGAGUCCUAUUUGCUAUUUGCUUCUUGUUGAGUACGACGUAUAUGCAUGGUAACGAAUAUCUAUACGUUGGUUUCAAGCAUGACCGUGAGUCUUAAAUUGAUACUUGAUGUGCUCUUGAAUGUUACUAUGGUUGAAAUAGUGAGUAAGUCCUUGAUAUUGAGCAAAGACUUAGUUUGUUUAUCGUGGAAUCUACUUAUGAUUGAGGAAUAGUGGUAAUUGAGACGAGUAGGAGUUGAGUUAAGAUUGGUUAUAGCUAAUUCUCCCUUUCCGGGACGUAUAUACUUGUACUGCCGAGUUCCCUUGCCGGGAUAGUGUAGUCUAUUGUUGAUCCUUUACCGGGACGAUUAAUUAUGAUUAUUGUUGACUGUAUAGUUGGAACGGGUUGUGCGCCGCAACAGAUAUUAUAUUGGAUUGAGUUGCACGCCGCAAUAGCUGUAUAUAUGUGGAUCAGGUUGCAUGCCGCAACAAUGUUAAAUGAUAAGGGAUCGGGUUGCGCGCCGCAACAGUAUUGUUAUUGUAUUGUUGUAGAUAUUGAGCUGUCCUUUCAUAUUUUAUUAGGUUUCUGUUGGUCUUGAUAUGUUUCCCCGAAGCAUGUACCCCCUCCCAUUUUAAACUGCUUAUUCCUGUUUAUUUUUCGCCAUAUAUUAUAUAACUGCACAGGUUUAUCUGGGGUCUGGUCCUACCCUUGUCGCUACCUUGCCGGGGUUAGGCCAGACACUUACCAGCACAUGGGGUCGGUCGUGCUGAUACUACACUCUGUACUCUGUGCAGAUACUGGAGUGACACUUGAUCAGCAGCAGUAGAGGAGCCAGCCUUCAGUCCACCGAGACACCGAGGUAGCCUUGCAGGCGUCCGCAAGCCCGGCGUCUCCUCUAUCUUUUAUUAUGUUUUUUUAUCUCAUGUAUCCGAGACAAACAGUGUUAUUUUUCCUUCGAACUGUUGUAUGUAGUACUCUUAGUAGUCAAUGGGUAUUGUGACACCAGUUUCUGGGUAGAGGCAUGUGUGGACUUUCGAAACAUUUUGGUUUUAUAUUUAUUUAAGACUUCCGCUUAAAUCUCAUAUUCCGCUGUCAUUUAGAUGUUUAUCACUUGUUAAUAUAAGUUGUAAAAAAAAAGAAUAAAAUAGAAGAGCUAAAGAUUUCUAAGUUCGUGGCUUGCCUAGCUUCUACGAGUGGGCGCCAUCACGACUCCCGAGGGUGGGAAUUUCGGAUCGUGACAGAAAUCUUUCUUUCAGGAUAUCAAACGAAAAUUCAAAAUAGUUUUUCUUUGGUUUAUUUUUUAGAUUUCCUUCAUAAAAAAAGUCAAAAAAUAUUUUUCUCUUCUAGGAUUUUUCCUUAAUAGAGUAUUUGUUUCAAAAGAAAAAAAAUCCGUUAAGCUUGAGUUUAGAAUAGGUUAUAGAAGAUUAAGUCUAGAAAAAAAGAAGAAGUUUUGCUUCCUUUAUUUCUCUUUUCUCUUCGGAUUGGUCAUUAAGGUAAAUAAAAAGAGAGAAAAAAAAGAAGAGAACGUUAGUUUAUUUAGUCUAUUCCCGAUCUUCCCAUACUAUGCAAAGAUCUGAUUCAUGCGGCUUCAUGAUACAUAGGCAACUUAUAUAGGGUUCGAUCGGAAUUUUUUAUUUUUAUGAAUAAAAAUAAAAGGAAAAAAAGGGAAAAAAAAGAAAAAAGGGAUGAAAUGAUAGGAUGUGAGAAUUGAGAGGAAAGAAGAGAGUGAUAAUUAGCAAAAAAGGAAGGAAAAAUGAGCAAGCAAGUGCUAGAAAAGCAAAGAAAAAAGAGGAUUGAGAUGAACAAAUUAGGAUGAUACCAACUGACCUUCAUACCCUCGAAGUCAUUUUAGAACCAAUAACUGUGGCUAAGUGCAUUGCACAUAAAGUGAGAUUUUCUUAUGUUAAAUGCCCUAACGCUAACGUGAUGACUUCAUUUUGUUCCUUUUGUUAUCUUCAUUAUAGCAGAAAGGUGGUUGGUUUGUGGUUCUUAAAGUGGUAACUCUUCUCUACAACAUAAAGUUGAAAGGCAAUGGCAGACGACAACGGAAUUGAGUUGGUUGGUACUGGGCCCAAAAGCAAUUGGUUGAACAGGGCAAUGGGUUGGUUAAAGAGGUAAGGAUGUUAAGAUAACACAUUGCGGACAUGUAUCAGACUUAGAUGAUUGGGAAGGUACCACCCCCGCCACCACCUAGCUUCCUAGAUGCUACCCUUACUUGAACUCCGGUCAUAGUGCCAGAUGAUCCCCCAUACUCUCCAGAUCCACCCGCUUAUCACAGCUUUCCCAACCGCCCUAGUAGCUCCAUCACUCAUCCUCCAAUUACCUUUCCCCAAAAUUGCCCUCCUGUCAUAUCGACUAUCCUUAACAAUGAAUUCCCACUCAAAGCUCAUGAUGCCCAAUAUUACCCCUCAGAGGUUGCACACAAGGUUCUUGAAUCAUACAAGCAGAGCCCUCAGAAUGAGCCUCAUGCUGAAAAUGAAAAGGUCACAGGAAAAGAAGGGCGAGAUGAAAUAUCCAGGAAGCUGAAAGGUAUAGAAAAGUCCUUAAGGAGCAUGCAAGGGAUGAGAAAUCAGAUUCAUAUGUUCCUUGAUGUUUAUCUGCCUGUGGGGUUUAAAGUGCCAAAGUUCAAUUUGUAUGAGGGGCGUGGAGAUUCGAUAGCCCAUCUGAGGGGUUAUUGCAGGGAAAUGAGAAAUGUUGGCGAGAAAGAUGAUUUGUUGAUGGCGUAUUUCAGUGAGAGCUUGACUGGGGCAGCUUUGGAAUGGCAUAAUCGUCAAGAUGUCGGUAAGUGACAUACAUUGGGUGACAUGGCUCAAGAUUUUGUUCGACACUUUCAAUACAAAUUAGACAUUACCCCAGACCGCUCCUCCCUAUCUAAAAUGGAAAAGAAAUCGGAGGAAAGCUUUGGGGAGUUUGGGCUCAGAUGGAGGGAGCAAGAUGCUCGAGUCUGUGCCCCCCAUUGGUGAAGAAGAAAUGGUUGAGCUUUUCCUACAAGCCCAGGGGCCCACCUACUUCAGUCAUUUGAUUCCUACCUUGGGUAAACCUUUCAAUGAUAUGGUAAAAACGGGGGAGAUGGUAGAAGAGGGAAUCAAGUCAGGCAAAAUCAUGAGUUAUUCGACAUUGAAAGAUACUAUGGAAGGCAUUCAGAACAUCCCAGUAAGUUUGGCUGGAAGAAAGAGAAAUAGAAAAGAUGAUCCCCUUGGCAUUCCUGCUCAACGCUUUUAGCCUCGACAUCGACCCCAUGGAUCUCCUUGUGCACCAGAUGAUCCUCCCCAAUGCUACUUCUCUCCACGUAACCCCCAAAGUCGUACAUCACUUUCCCAGUACCCUAUCCACAAUGCACCACUAUAUGCUCCACACCCACGAGGCCCGCACCACUUCCCCAAAUGUCUUACCCGCCUCCUCAAGCAUAUUAGCCACCUGCCCGCAAAAGGUUCCAACUGAGGCCAGAACACAAACUGAAAAGACUGCUGAAAAAAGAAAAGACUCUCACCCCUAUUGGAGAAUCAUAUGCCAGUUUGUUCCGAAGGUUGAGGCAAUUGGACAUGGUGAAGCCGAUUCAGAUAAAAAUGCCAAACCCUCUACCAAAGAAGUUUGAUUUUUCUCAAAGGUGCGCAUAUUGCUCCGAUGCCCUGGGUCACAAUAUAGAAAAGUGUUGGCACCUGAAAAAUGCAAUUCAGAAGCUUAUUGAUACAUGUGACAUUGUCGUGCAAAAUCUAGAUGCAGCAAACACUAGCCAAAGUCCAUCAUCUGUUCGUAAUGAGUCGCAUAUGGGUGAGUAUGGUUUGUUUUGAAAAGGAAUAUGAGAAUUCUUCUAAGAUCCUCGGAGGUCCACGCACUGCAAAGCUUUUAGCGCUAUCAGAUGUUGAUCUUAAGAACGAGCUGCAAAGUGAACCCAAAAGCAAUUUGUUAAGAACAAUGUGAUGAAGACUUGUGAAGGUCCUAAUAUUGUUGAUGCAGAAUUCAAUGGUUAAGAUGUUGAGCUUGGUGAUUAGAAAGAUGCUCCUUUCUUGGUUAGCCAGGGAAGAGUAUUGGUAGUUUAUUUUAUUGUCAUUUCUGUUGUCCGGUUUAUUUCAGGGUUGUAAUCCAGAUAUUGUCUUGUGGCUCAAACCCUUCUAUCCUUUUAUUUUGCCUGGUUUGUUUAGUCGUAGUAACUCAUUUAGUGCUGUCUAGGUUUGUUCCAUGGUUGUAACCCCAGUUUAGUGCUUGUUUUGUUGUUCAAACCCCUUCACCGUUUAUCUAAUACAAUUUUCUAUUUUCUGUUAUUUCUAGUCAUUUCUGUUUAGUUCUUUUCUCCUUUUAUAGUUCUCUUCAUGCUGGUUCUGGUGACAUGACAUGCACGCAUAAUUCUAGGCCUGGUUUUAAAGGUUAGUUUAAUCAUGAAAUAAUAAAACAAUUAUGAAGAUGAUAGGGACAUUUGAGGGAAAUAAGUAAAGGCAUUUCGAGAUCAUUUGAAGCCCGAACUGUGUGAAACUGGGGUAGGUAAUUGGGAAAGUUGAUGGGGUGACAAGAAUUCGUUAAAGGAGAGUGCAUCCUAGACAGUUUGAAGCAAACAACUUUGAGUUCAAGUGCAUCUCAAGUUACAAGAUAAAGUCAAGAAAGUUGUCUCCAAAUUGACGGAGGAUAUCCAUUGUGAAAAGGGAAUCACCCAACGAGAGUUCUGUACUUGAUAAGGCGCUAAAGAAAAGUGGAAGGCAUAUCAGUAAUACCAAUGUCGAAGCCGCAAAAGAAAUAUUGUGCAUGAUCUUCAAUUUUCAUUUCAAGUUGCAUGUAUUGUACUUGGCAUUUUCAGGGAUUGGGAGGCCCUAUUUCAGCUACUGAAACACUUAUACCAUUCGAUACCCUUUUGAGCCUGUACUGAUUUCUUUGACCUUCCCUCUUUUGGAAUCAAGUUAGAGUCAUAUGAAAAAAGAGAAAAAAAAGUUCAUGUCCCCAUAGGUUUAUUUUAGAAAGUUCAUUCCAAAAGGAAAAAGAAAAAAAAAAGGAAAAAAGAGAUAAAGAAAAAAAGGAAAAAGAAAAAAAGAGAAAAAAAGGAAAAAGAAAAAAAAGGAAAAAGAGAAAAGAAAAAGAAAAAUAGCAACAACAAAAUGUAUCUUUGUGAACUACAUUUGACAUGAUUCUUGUCACCCCAAAAUAUGUAGGCAGCCUUACGGUUCGGUCAUACCAAAUAAAAAUAUUUCAUAAUCCCACGAAGUCGAGAGUGGGAAAUUCCAAAAAAAAAAGAGGGAAAAAUAGAUUCAAGUUCCCCUGUUUUAGAAAUUGGGGGCAAAGUUUUUAGAAUGGAUUUCAAAAGUUGUAAAUAAAUUAACCCCGUUGUCUUAGUUACUUUGAGCCUUUAUAAUAUCAUUUCUUUCUAACCCUGCCCAAAAGCCACAUUACAGUCCAAACAAAGACCUUCCAGAUGAUCUUUGAGAGUGCGGAGUUUAGACAUGCCAAGAGUAUAUGCUGUUUUUACCAUGGUUAAUGCCUUGUCAUCUGCAGAAUCAGAGGAGAAUAAGAAGAAAAGAACAAAAUGAGAGAGUCUUAUCGGUGAAAACCUUCACAGGCACCAUAAGGCGAUGGUGAGUUGAGAGAAAGAACAAAAUGAGAGAGGCUUGAUAGUGAAAACCCUUCGGGCACUACAAAUCGAAUAAGGAUCAGGAAUCGAAUUGGAUAAUCAGAGCAUUGAAGCCCAGUUUCACGGUUUAGGGGUACAAUAAGAGUUGAACAUCACACUUGCUUGACAAAAUUGGCCACAUGUGCAUGUCAUGGUCAUUAGAGUUGGGAUCCACAUCUGAUAGGUUUCUACUUGUAGUUUCUUGUUAGGAAUCAUCCCUUUCCAUUGUCCUUUACUCUGUUCCUUUUGUCUUGUUUACUUCCUCUUACUGAGUCUGUUUGGUCAGAAUAAGUGAGAAAUGACUACAAAAUCUGUCACCAGCUUUCCAAUGGCACAAAACGGGAUCUAGCUAGCACAUCAAAGUGGCAUAAGUCAGGAAAGAACAGCAUGUGCACUGAGUUGAUAACAAUCAACGUGCUUUGGGAUUCAUGUGAAGUACAAAGGUUUGGUAUAUGUCAAUUCAUGAACAAUGCAACAGAUAGAGUAUGUUGGGUGAACGGAUCAAAGGUGUUUUUUGUGAUAAAGUUGACAGAGAAGGUGGUUAACCAAUGACAAGCAAGGUCUUCCAAGCGGAAGUCAAAGUUAUCAUGACAAGUGAAGGAGCAAUAGACCUGUGUUUUGGGAUUCAUGUAAAAUACAAAGGUUUGGUAAAUGUCCAAUCAUGAGCAAAAUGCAAUAGAUAGAGGAUAUUGGGUUUGAACAGAUCGGAAGUAUUUUAUGGGAUAAGGGUGACAGAGAAAAUGGUCAGUCAAUAAACAAGCAAGGUCUUUCGAAUUGAAACCGAAGUUAUCAUGGGAAGUGAAGGAGAAAUCACCCUCUACCAUAUUUAUAAACUCAUAAGUUUUCUUUGUUUGAAACAGGGACGGAAAUUGUGUCCAAAUCAAAGCUUGGAAGUUUGAAUUUUUUCAAGUGUCAUGCCCAAAUUUUGUCAGCAGAAAGGCGGUUUGAGGAAUGGAAAGAAAAAGUUGUUCGAUCUGUAGGAAUCCUCUAUGAGGAAAAGUAUGGUGCAGGGGCAAGGAAUUUUUUUUGUUCUGCAAAGAUCCUUCAGAAAGAAAGCAUGGCUCAGGUAAGUUCAUUCUCGGCUCUUCAGGACCCUCCUGGAUAAUGGAAUUUAGUUUUAAGUAUUCAGUACCCUCCUGGGCAAUGGGAUUUAGUUUUAAGACCUUCAUAGAUAAUAAGAUUUAGCAUAAGUUUUACCUUUAGAAAAUAGGAUUUAGCUUUGAAGUUGUCACUCGCGAGAUGAGAUUUAAUUUUUAAUUUUCAGGACCCUCCUAAAUAAUGGGAUUUAGCUUUUAAAUUCUUAGAGGUUUUGAGUACUAUGAUUCAAUUAACUCUCAUAGAUGUUCCCGAUAUCAAACUGGGGUAGAAAUUUGUUUGUUUGUUUUGUUGUAAUUAGGUUCACAAGCAGCAGUUUCAGAGGCAACAGAGCAAGUUUCGAGGAAAAGUAGAGCAAGUGUUGGUAAUCAGGAGCCCACCUGGAGAACGAAGGGAAGCAGCAAUGUCCAAAGGAAGACAACAAUCAGGAGCCCACCUGAAGAACAAAGGGAAGCAACAACGUUCAAAGGAAGACAACAAUCAGGAGCUCACCUGGAGAACGAAGGGAAGCAACGAGGUUCAAAGGAGUUCAGCAAUCAGGAACCCACAUGAAGAACAAAGGGAAGCAUUUCAAGUUUCGAGAAAAAGCAGCGGAAGUAUUGGUAAUCAGGAUCCCACCUGGAGAACGAAGGGAAGCAACAAUGUUCAAAGGAAGAUAGCAAUCAGGAGCCCGCUCGCCUGGAGAGCGAAGGGAAACAUAAAUGUUCAAAGGAAGACAGCAAUCAGGAGCCCACCUGAAGAACGAAGGGAAACAGUGAUGUUCAAAGGAAGACAACAAUCAGGAGCCUACCUAGAGAAUGAAGGGAAGCAGCAAGGUUCAAAGGAGUUCAGCAAUCAGGAGCCCAUCUAAAGAACAAAGGGAAACAGUUCAAGUUUCGAGCAAAAGCAGCACAAGUGUUGGUAAUCAGGAGCCCACCUAGAGAACAAAGGGAAGCAACAAUGUUCAAAGGAAAACAACAAACAUGAGCCCACCUAAUGAACAAAAGGAAGCAGCAAGGUUCAAAGGAAGACAACAAUCAAGAGUCCACCUGAAGAACAAAGGGGAGCAGCAAGGUUCAAAGGCGUUCAGCAAUCAGGCACCUACUUGGAGAGAAANNNNNNNNNNNNNNNNNNNNNNNNNGUUCAAGUUUCAAAAGAAGACACCACAGGUUUCAAAGGAAAAUAGUUUAAGGUAACAAAGGGAAUACAAUUCAAGUUUGGUAAUCAGGCGCCCGCCUGGAGAACAAGAGGAUGCAGUUCAAAUGUUGGCAAUUAGGCCUACCUGGAGAAUAAGAGAAUUCACUUCAGAGUACAAUUCAAGUCAGCAACAAAAGAAGCUUGCGGUAAGAAUGCGAGUCAACAGUCCGAGGUAAUCAACAGAAGUUAGUCACAAAAAAAAAGGCAAGAAGUGAAUCCAGAUGCAGAAGUUGAUGAAAAUGUGAGUUGCUCAAGAUAUGGUUGAAGUCACAAGCAUGGUAUGUCCGGUUUUGGUUUGAAAAGCUAAGAAGAAUGAACUAGCACCUGCAACUAGCAAGCGUCAAGGUUCAAAUCCAAAGUCUGCAUGAAGAACCAUUCAAGACUCAAGAUCAAGCUUCAGAAGACUAAUAGAUAUGAAUCUUGUAACUCGUAGUUGGCAGACUUAGCUAGUCUUUUUCUUUUUUUGAUUUUUGAUGUAAUAACAGGACCGUGAACCGGAACCUCGGCGAAACGGCACCUCGACUGGCUCUCUACCUCGGGUUCCCAAGGCAUAAGAAAAAGAGAAAGAUAAAGCGGAUUAGGAAAGAUUCAAAGGAUUUCUAUACUCAUAGACAGGGUUUAGGUGCAAAGCGGGCUGUUCGCCUUUCGGAAAAGGUGAGCCUCUUUGGUUCAAAAGAAACUACUAAACUUUUCUAGUAUAGCUAGUGAAUCCUUGAAUGUCCACCCCAAGCAGAAGAAUGCAUAUCCUGGAUUAGUUUUAGCCUAAGGCCCAACUGAUUUCCAAUCCACAAUUUACCUUGAAACCUUAGCAAACCAAAUUGCAGAGACACAUUAGUCACUGCUUGUGAGUCAAUACUCAGUUGUGAGAUUAUGUCUUGGGCUUCUUCAUCCCCUGUAUAGCUGUUUAUUACCUCUUGCAACCACUUGGGUUGGAUCAAAGUGAGACCCAAACAUGAAGUUUUUUUUCUUGAUUAACUCUUGAAAUUUCCUCUUCCCUUCGAGACAACGCAUCAACUACAAUGUUCUCUUUUCCCUACCGAUAAUGUAUUUCAUAACUGACGCCCAUCAGUUUUGUUUCUCCUUUAUAUUGUAAAGAGGUGGUGAUACGUUGAUCUCUGUGGAAUUUAAGACUAAAGUGGUAUGUCCGAAUGAUGAAGUGAUUGGGUUGGAGGUAAUGCCUCCAUUUUUCAACAGCCAGUAGAAUGACAAUCAAUUCCUCCUCAUAGGUGGAUAACCCAAGAUGUUUUUGACUUAAAACUUGAAUCAUAUAGGCAAUGGAUCUGUUAUUUUGGGAAAACACAGCCCCAACUCCCCAUCCACUAGCAUCGACUUCAACCACAAAGGGUAACUUGAAAUCUGGUAAGGCCAAGACAUGUGCUCUACUCAUGGCUUCUUUCAGAGCUUCAAAGGCUUUUGUUGAUUCUAUACUCCACACAAAACCUCCCUUUUUGAGUAAUGAUGUUAAGGGCUUACAAAUAAUUGCAUAGCUUUGGAUAAAUCGACGGUAAUAUCCAGUAAGCCCAAGGAAUCCACGUAGACUCUUAAUAGAACUUGGCUUGGGCCAAUUUACCAUGGCCUCAACUUUAGCCCUAUCAGUGCUUACCCCAUCAUCGGUGAUCACAUGACCCAAGUACUCCACUUGUUCCAAUAAUGAAGCACUAUAAACUAAUAUAUCAUUAAAACAAACUAACACAAACUUCCUCAAAUAGGGGCUGAAAAUCUGAUGCAUAAGGACUUGAAAUGUAGCCGGAGCAUUUGUUAAUCCGAACGGCAUCACUGUAAAUUCCCACAAUCCAUGAUGAGUUUUGAAAGCCAUUUUAUGAUCAUGGCCUGCCUUCAUUCAGAUAUGAUGGUAUCCGAAUCUUAAAUCCAAUUUCAAAAAAUAAUAAGCACAAUGGAGUUCAUCUAGUAGAGCUUCCACCAUUAGAAUCAGAUAUUUAUUCUUUAUGGUAAUGUCAUUGAGCUUUCGGUAAGCAACACAUAAACUUCACGUAGAAACUUUUUUCUUGACAAGGAUGACUGGUGAAGCAAAAGGAGAUGUACUGGUGAUCACUGCCUUAACCUAUAACAUCUCUUGAAUAAUUCUUUCGAUGACAUCCUUUUGCUCGUGAGAGUUCCUAUAGGGUCGUUGAUUGACUGGUGCUACUCCUGAAACCAAUUCAAUAGCAUGAUCGCAAGACCUAGCUGGAGGUAAGGUGGUGGGUUCAUCAAACACUCUAGCAAAUGCACCCAAAAGAUUUUCCACCACAGCCGGUACUAUUUCUCUGUUGGACUCGACUGAUUCCAUUUGAAAUGUUUGUGCCACCCAACUACAACCACAUCUAUUCAGUAACCCAGAAUUCUUUUAGAAUCCAGUUGGGUCAUUGACUGCGAAUCAGUAAAGCCCACCAAUGUCACCAUAUUACUUCUUCUAAAGAAGGAUACACUAUGUGGUCUAGUAUUUAUAACCAUGGGAGCUACCAAGUCUAUCCAAUCCAUCCCUAAGACUAUAUCACAACCUCCAACCUUCAUUAAUCUCAAGUCAAAUUGGAACAUUUCACCUUGCAUUUGCCAAAACACCUUAGGAAAAAAAAUAUUACUCCACAUUAUCCCUCCAUUAGCUACUCGAACUUUCAUGGUCCGAAUCAUUUGUUGCAUGUUUAAUUGCAAUUUUUCAGCCAAUUGAGGGUCUAAGAAGCUAUGAGUUGCCCCUGAGACAAUCAAAAUUAUCACUGGUUCAUUAUUUAAGAUUCUUGAAAUUUUGAUUGUAUUGGGACCUCUUCCUGGGCCAUCCAGAACAUUGAGGAAAGCUUCCUCCUCUUCCAAACCCACCAUCAUAUUAACGGUAGCAUCUUCCAUAUUUUCCUCAACUUCUUGUUCAUCCGUUACUCCCAGAGCCUUCACCUACUUCAAAAUUGGUUUCCCCUUCACUUCCUUCAAUUGAGUUAAGGGCUUUGGACUUGCGUUGAUGCCCUAGAAAGUACUUAUCAUGGCAUUUGUAAUACAACUUAUUUUCCCUUAACAUUUCCAUGGUUGGAUUGUUCGGUAGGACCAUUGAAUUUCUGGUCACAAUAGGCGGCAACUCUUGAUGAUGUUUUGAGCUGAAGUUGUUUUUGGGAUGGGAGGAAAGGUAAUUGUCGGUUGUGUGGAGGACAUUUUCAAUGGCUGAAUAUUUUUAUAAAUGGAGGCUAACGUUUUUUCAUGAAUUUUAGCUAUUUCCAGUGCAUCAAUCAUUGUUUGAGGAUUGGAUGCCCUCAUCAUGGACUGUAAAUCUGCUUUUAAUCCUCCAACAAAGCAAUACACAAAGUAAACUUCAUUAAAUGUUGGAUUAAUGAGCAACAAGUAGAAACGCAAGUCCUCAAAUUUGUUAAAAUAGCUAUCCACAUCCGUCCACUAUUGAAAUCUAUUAAAAUCAAUAACAACAUCCAUGGGUCUGAUGUUGCCAUAUCUACGACACACAUCCAAGCAAAAGGUCUCUCAUGUGAAAGUACCACCAUGUUCCAUCAUAUAAACAUCGAACCAAGUAUCCAUUUUCUCAUUAAUGUGAAUAGCCACAUAGCUCAUCUUUUCACUUGAAGUCGUUUGGUAUUGUCACACCCCUUUUUUUACCAACCUCACUAACCCUCUUUAAAUAAUAAAAAAGAUUUGUAAUGCUCAAAAAAAAAUUCCAAUUAGAAAGUGACAAAAUAUUUGUUUUAAAAGGUAAUAACUCAGAGUCGUCACCUGACAUUGGUUUCGGUGUGCCAGGUGUAGACAUGUGAUUUUUGACCCUCCCCAAGAUUUUUCAUAUUUUAGCACGCAAAUAUUUAAUUUAGGCCUAAUAUCGCUAUCUCAACUAAUUUUGACUCUUUUACUUUAUUUUAUUACAAAAAGCGAAAAUUACAAAAAAUAGUUUCAUUAAGGUUUUGUAGUCAUUUUUAAUCUUGAAAAAAUACCAAAAAAUAGUUUUGUUUUAACGUGGAGUCUUAUUUUAAUAAUUAUUUUUACUUAAGUAGGAUUAAUUAAUAUUUUCGAUAAUAUUUCUAUAUGGAUAGAUUUUUAGUUAAUUAAACUAAUUUUAAACAAAACUAGUCAUAAAGGCCCAUAAUUUUCAAAUCCAUAAUUCAUAGGCUCAUACCUCUUAACCUAGAAAACCCUACAAAUACUUAGAUCCCUGGACUAAGAGAGGAAACUAACCUAGAAUUCCCCAGCCGUUCCCUUCAUUUUUUCAGCAUUCUAACAUACACCCUAGGAGAACCCUAGGAGAACCCCACUCCCGACGGCAAACACCCCUCCAAAACCGAUGACCCCUCAUCUCCUCCACCCUAAAGCAGCACACCCAAACCCAGCGACCUUACUUCAGUCAUGACGCAUACACACGCACACGCACAAACAGAAGACGGGGAAGAAAAGAGAAGGAAAGAAGCUAGGGUUUAGAAAGGAAAAUUCUCCUUCUGUUGAGUUACUGUUGGUACUUCCUAAUUGUUUAAAGUCAUGUUUCUUAUGCUAAAGAUACUAAGUUCCAAAUUGGAUCUAGUUUGAGCUAGAAGACUGGUUUAUUUGUGAAAAUGAUAAGUCAAUAUUUGGAAUUAUUCACUUUGUGCACUAAAUUCUCAUAAUUGUCGUUUAGUGUGAAUGCUUUUCCCCAUGAAAUGCUUUUUCUACGAUUUACUUGAAUGCUCGUUUGUGCGGAUUUUAUUAACGUCUGCUUGUCUGCUUAAGUAAAUGAAGUAAAAUUGGAAUCGAAAUAUUUGUUGCUUUAUCAUUUGUCGCAUUCUAGGUCGACCAUACGUGGGUAAGCAAACUUUUAGGCACGUAAUUAAAUUAUUACAACUAUCGGUACGGUUCUCGUGACGUGGUUAUAAUACUUAGUUUCUUUAAAAAUUAGAUAUAAGUAGGAGUAUUUUUGGUUUGCCUUAGCGAAAUACAAAUCUUUUCUUUUAAAUAAAUUGAGGUGCGCCACACGCAAACAAAAUCCAUAAUCGAUGGCCCUCAUAUUAAUUAUCUUAACUAGUGUAAAAAAUGCCUUGAACUCUCGUAGUUUGCUUUAGGCACAUUUAAUUAAAUAAAUUGUCAUAGUUACGGGUACGGUUCUCGUGAUGUAGUUGUGAUGCUGAAUUUCUAAAAAUUCGGGAGUACAUUUAUGUGACCCGGCCACAAUUUAAUCUUGUUAAUAAAAUAAACAUAUUGUGGAUCGUGGGUACGGCUCCCGUGACAUGAUUUGCAACGUGUAAUCAAAUAAUUAGUUGUAUAACAAUCGAAUUAUUAAAAGCGGUUUAAAAGGGAUAAAAACACACAUAGAUUUCAAAGAUGUUUUAAAAUCAAAUAAAUAGGCCAAUAAUAACAGUUGAGCAACCGUGCUAAAACCACGGAACUCGGGAAUGCCUAACACCUUCUCCCGGGGUAACAAAAUUCCUUACCCGAAUUUUUGUGUUUCGCGGACUAUAAAAUAGAGUCAAUCUUUUCCUUGAUUCGGGAUUUAAACUGGUGACUUGGGACAUCAUAAAUUAUCCCAAGUGGUGACUCUGAAUUUUAAAUAAAAUAAUCCUGUUUCGAUUGUCACUUAAAUUGAAAAAAAACUCCCUUAUAUCGCCUUCGCGGGUGGUAAAAAGGAGGUGUGACACCAGGUCACUGUUUUUUUUAAAAUAAUUUUCCUUUUAAAACACUUUGGACUCCGAACUAAGUCUGCACCAGAGAUUCGGGUAAGGGGGUUCAUUUGACUCUAGGAGAAGAUGUUAGGUACUCCGCAAGUCCCAUAACUAGUACGGUUACAUACUUGAUCUAGUCGGCUUUUAAAAUAUUCAAGUUGAGGUAAAAUCACAGAAAACCAAAAUAAACACACACGAGGCUCGAGGUCGUCCCCACCUAAUAAAAUAAAAAUAAAAAUAAAAAUACUACGAGUUCUAUUAUUGAUCUCCAAAUACAAAUACUUCGAGGCGUACCCCGGAAUAAAAUAUAUACAAAUCCUUCGGGGCAUUCCCUGGAUAAAUUUAACUAAGGGGAACCUCUCACCUCAAAAGAAACUAAAACACGAGCUUCCUAAAGGCUUGCCUACCCAAAUGUGGUCGGCCUAAGCAUGCUCCUAACGAAUACUAUGACAAAUAAAGAAAAUAAAAGAGGACUAAAUAAAAGAACGGUCUAAUUCAUGCUCAUGUUUUUUUAGCUUUUCAUUUUUAUUAGGCCGAGCCCGAUACCUAAAGCAUACAAAUAGAUUUAAUCGCUAAUGGGCUUUGGCCUUGUCCCCACUCCUACGGACCAAUGCAUUCGUCAUUCAAAAUAUCCCAACAAGCAAAUGUAAAAUAGUCAUCCAAAUAAAUAGGUACUCAAAUCAUUGAAGGAAAAUCAAACAGGGAACCAAAUAAAAUAACAGAAGACUAAAUGACGAACAAGUAAAAGGAAGUGAAUCAAAGCCUUUGGAAGAGCCAUUAAGAGAUGUUACCACUACCCAGUUCUUUACUAAAUUCUCAUACCCCAAAUAUCACACAACUCAAAUCCCCCUCCGGAUAUUACAAAUAUAUGCCAAAUCGUUCCAAUGAAACAAUGAGACUAUCUAAUGAAUCAAUUAACACACGAGAGCCGUUGAAUGACAAUGUGAUUUAGAAGCAUUAGAUAUACCACAAACUUAACAAAGUAAAACUCAUUUUAACCAUGAUCAAUCAAGAGAACAUUCCUUGAGCAGCUAAGCACGUUAUCAAAACUUCUUUAAACUACUAGUACUAGUGAUAAAAUGAUGACAACAUAUUUUAGAGCCAAGUAACUUUCCUUCACAGCAUAUAACCUUUAACAAGAAGAUCACUGCAACAUUUAGAAUUAAGUAACACAUGGUCAGAUUGAGCUUAAAAUAUUGUCAGACCAAUCAAUCACACCUAGAGCUUCAUAGAAGCACACAAGAAAUAUUUGAUAUGCAAAAUCUCGCCCACAUGCCAAAUUUCGAAAGAAAGAAAACUAAAUUAGACCAAAUAAGAGUUGAAAAACUUAUUAUAAUUAUUUACUACUCGAACAUCACCAUCUGAGACAAAUAUAAGUGAAUCCAUUUAUUUAAUAACAAAAUUCAUUCAAGUCUUCAAUCUUGCCUUAAUAACAGAGGAUGAAUUAAUUUAGUAUCAAAGAUAAGAAAAUAAUGGCAAGUACCUUAACCCCCAAUGAUUCUUAUUACCAAACUUUCAUUAUACCGUGACCAAGAAAUACUCAAUCAAGUCAAGAAACAUUCAAUCAAGUCUUCAUUAUCUUAAAAUUCCACAAGCAAACAGUUAAAGACCAAAACCAUUAAAACUCCUUCAAAAACUCAUUUAAAAGAGAAAAGGAACUAUAAAUUCAAACACAUAUCCGGAUCAUUCGACCCUUUAAAUGAAUCCAUCGGAAAAGAACAAAGAAAAAAAAACGGUACACAUAGUGACAUGAAGCAAAUAGAGGGGGAGUUAACAAAUUCUUGUUAUCACCUUAAGUUUAAACCCAUCUCUUAAUUGCUCUUCUAAGCUCGAUUCACAAGAGGGGAAAAGAGGAAGGAGAAGAAAAUGAACAUGUUGAGUAAGUUCUUCCACUAUAUAAAAUUCAACAAAUACAGAGAUUUCGACUCCCAAAAUUUGAAACGAGACUUAACAACAGGAAACGGGCAGAACCGCGAUUCAAUAGCAACACUCGAACAAUGCCGAUGAACUCAAACUCACCUCGAACUCAGAUCAAAUCCACGAGGGAAGUUUAACUCAAAAACUAAGUGUAUUUUUCGGAUUUGAGAAGCAGAAACUGAUUUUUUUUCCUAUAAUUUUACGGAAAUGAACUAAAGAUUGAAUUAGACUCUUUUUUUUUUUGUAUUUUUGCUUUUCUGAAACUUAAACUCAGACUGAAGAUGAACCAAAUAAGAAGAAGAAGAAGAACUCCCUCUUAGAACCCUAAUUUUUUCACUUUUCUUCCUUUUUUUCUAAAAACCCCCCUCCUAUAAAUCAAACCCCCCAAAUAUAUACUCCAUCUCAAAACUUCUAUCCUUGUCAUCUAAGAAAACCCGAAAAUCCUCGAAAAACCUCCAAAAUUCGUUUUUCGACCAGUAAAAGACAAGUGGUGGGAGUAGAUUGAGUGAGACUCCAUCCUAUGCCCCCAUUAAUCCUAAUCUAGUCUUCAAAUGAAAUUCAGGUGAGAUGAGCGCGUGAGGGAGAGGCGGACUCAAUUUGUCAGAGUUUGUUAUGGAUUUGGCUGACGUGGAAGGAAUAUGAGGGGAUGAGACCAUGGUGGGUUCGUUUAUGGUGGGGUUUGGGUUGGGUUAGGGUGGAAGAAGGGUGUGAGGGAUAAGAGGAGUGCGGUUGGGGUCUUUGGGGUUAGGUUUAGGGUUUGGGGAAUAUUGUACUUUUAAAUGGAGUUAAGACAAAAGAUGGGCCGUUGGAUUUGGCAGAAUGGAAGUUUUAGAUUAAAGGAAGCAUGGGUCGG